rnacentral:rRNA from 1 species
GUAAGGAAUAUUGGACAAUGGGCGCAAGCCUGAUCCAGCCAUGCCGCGUGAAGGAUGAAGGCCCUAUGGGUCGUAAACUUCUUUUAAACGGGACGAAACCCCUCGACGUGUCGAGGGCUGACGGUACCGUAAGAAUAAGGGUCGGCUAACUUCGUGCCAGCAGCCGCGGUAAUACGAAGGACCCGAGCGUUAUCCGGAUUUAUUGGGUUUAAAGGGUGCGUAGGCGGACCUAUAAGUCAGUGGUGAAAGCCCAUCGCUCAACGAUGGAAUUGCCAUUGAUACUGUAGGUCUUGAGUAUAGUUGAGGUGGGCGGAAUGUGUCAUGUAGCGGUGAAAUGCUUAGAUAUGACACAGAACACCUAUUGCGAAGGCAGCUCGCUAAGCUAUAACUGACGCUGAGGCACGAAAGUGUGGGUAGCAAACAGGAUUAGAAACCCCAGUAGUCC